GCUUGUCUCAAAGAUUAAGCCAUGCAUGUCUAAGUAUAAACAAGUUUAUACUGUGAAACUGCGUACAGCUCAUUAUAUCAGCAAUAAUUUAUUUGAUGGUACCUUACUACAUGGAUACCCGUAGUAAUUCUAGAGCUAAUACAUGCGCAAAGUCCCGACCUCUGGAAGGGAUGUAUUUAUUAGAUAAAAAACCAACGCACCUUCGGGUGGUCUCUUGGUGAGUCAUAAUAACUGAUCGAAUCGCAUGGCCUCGUGCUGGCGAUAGUUCAUUCAAAUUUCUGCCCUAUCAGCUUUCGACGGUAGUGUAGUGGACUACCGUGGCGUUAACGGGUAACGGAGAAUUAGGGUUCGAUUCCGGAGAGGGAGCCUGAGAAACGGCUACCACAUCCAAGGAAGGCAGCAGG
rnacentral:rRNA from 1 species